AGAGUUUGAUCAUGGCUCAGGACGAACGCUGGCGGCGUGCCUAACACAUGCAAGUCGAGCGGGGAGAAGAAUUCGUUUUUCUCUUUAGCGGCGGACGGGUGAGUAACACGUGGGUAACCUGCCUCAAAGUGGGGGAUAGCCUUCCGAAAGGAAGAUUAAUACCGCAUAAUAUCUAAGUGCUGCAUGGCAUUAAGAUUAAAGGAGCAAUCCGCUUUGAGAUGGACCCGCGGCGCAUUAGCUAGUUGGUGAGGUAACGGCCCACCAAGGCGACGAUGCGUAGCCGACCUGAGAGGGUGAUCGGCCACAUUGGAACUGAGACACGGUCCAGACUCCUACGGGAGGCAGCAGUGGGGAAUAUUGCACAAUGGGGGAAACCCUGAUGCAGCAACGCCGCGUGAGUGAUGAAGGCCUUCGGGUCGUAAAGCUCUUUGAUCAGGGACGAUAAUGACGGUACCUGAAAAACAAGCCACGGCUAACUACGUGCCAGCAGCCGCGGUAAUACGUAGGUGGCGAGCGUUGUCCGGAUUUACUGGGCGUAAAGAAUGCGUAGGUGGAUAUUUAAGUGGGAUGUGAAAUCCCCGGGCUCAACCCGGGAACUGCAUACCAAACUGGAUAUCUGGAGUGCAGGAGAGGAAAGCGGAAUUCCUAGUGUAGCGGUGAAAUGCGUAGAUAUUAGGAGGAACACCAGUGGCGAAGGCGGCUUUCUGGACUGNUACUGACACUGANNGCAUGAAGCGUGGGGAGCAACAGGAUUAGAACC
rnacentral:rRNA from 1 species